rnacentral:rRNA from 1 species
CUCAGAUUGAACGCUGGCGGCAUGCCUAACACAUGCAAGUCGAACGGUAACAGGUCUUCGGAUGCUGACGAGUGGCGGACGGGUGAGUAAUGCGUAGGAAUCUGUCUUUUAGUGGGGGACAACCCAGGGAAACUUGGGCUAAUACCGCAUGAGCCCUGAGGGGGAAAGCGGGGGAUCUUCGGACCUCGCGCUAAGGGAAGAGCCUACGUCUGAUUAGCUAGUUGGUAGGGUAAAGGCCUACCAAGGCGACGAUCAGUAGCUGGUCUGAGAGGACGACCAGCCACACUGGGACUGAGACACGGCCCAGACUCCUACGGGAGGCAGCAGUGGGGAAUUUUUCGCAAUGGGGGCAACCCUGACGAAGCAAUGCCGCGUGGAUGAAGAAGGCCUUCGGGUUGUAAAGUCCUUUCGUGGGGGACGAAAAGGCGGGUCCUAAUACGAUCUGCUGUUGACGUGAACCCAAGAAGAAGCACCGGCUAACUCCGUGCCAGCAGCCGCGGUAAUACGGGGGGUGCAAG